rfam:Equus caballus chromosome 14, whole genome shotgun sequence.
GGAGACAUAGGGAGGGAUCCCAAUACAGCCUUAGGAAAAGAAACCUGCCACAGGAGUCUUGGAGAUUGGCAACCAUCCUAAUGCCUUA